rnacentral:rRNA from 1 species
ACACUGACUGUGCUAAGGUAGCAUAAUAAGUUGGCUUAUAAUUGAAGUCUUGUAUGAAAGGGACUUGAUGGGUAGUAACUGUCUCUUUAAGUUUAAAUAAAAAUUAUUUAGGGGGUGAAAAUGCCCCCUCUUAAAAGAAAGACGAGAAGACCCUUAGAAUUUUUUAUUACAGUUAAUUUUUUUAAUACGUAUUUGUUGGGGCGACAAAUUAGCAAUUUUAACCUAAUUAUUAUAGUAAGUUUUACACGUAAUUUAUAAUUAGGAUUGAUUAAUUACCUAAGGGAUAACAGCAUA